AGCUUUGUGCAGUGGCAGUAUCGUAGCCAAUGAGGUUUAUCCGAGGCGUGAUUAUUGCCAAUUAAAAAGUUGAAAGUAGAGUCACCCUACAACUCAGCAAUUGCACUAGUGGGUAUUUACUCUAAAGAUACAAACAUA